UUUCGCAAUGCCCGAAAGGGUGACGAAGCGACGCCGCGUGCGGGAGGAAGGCCUUCGGGUUGUAAACCGCUGUCGGGAGUUAAGAAAUGCAAGGAUGUUAAUAGCGUUCUUGCUUGACUAAGGCUCCGGAGGAAGCCACGGCUAACUCUGUGCCAGCAGCCGCGGUAAUACAGAGGCGGCAAGCGUUGUUCGGAAUUAUUGGGCGUAAAGAGCACGUAGGCGGCUGUGUAAGUCGGUUGUGAAAGCCUUCCGCUCAACGGAAGAACGGCAUCCGAUACUGCAUGGCUUGAGUGUGGGAGGGGAGAGUGGAACUUCUGGUGGAGCGGUGAAAUGCGUAGAUAUCAGAAGGAACACCGGCGGCGAAGGCGACUCUCUGGUCCAUAACUGACGCUGAGUGUGCGAAAGCUAGGGGAGCAAACGGGAUUAGAUACCCCGGUAGUCCUAGCCGUAAACGAUGGGCACUAAGUAGAGGGGUUUU
rnacentral:rRNA from 2 species